AUAACGUACCCAUAUUUAUUCUGUUUCUGCUUCAAUUGACAGGCUGCAAGAGGCAGAAAAAUUGUGUUGAGUUGAUUUCAUUGUGAAAAGUUGCUUAAUUUUUUUCAAUCAAGAAAUUUCAUCGGGACGGAUCGUUGAUUUAUUCGUCUACACAAGAUUGCGAGCUCUUCAGCCACUUACUUAAGGAUAUCUCAAAUCAAGACAAUGAACAUCUGCAUAAACUUGCGCUGCCAUUUUCUUUCAUGAAAAGGGAAAAAAAAUGAAUAACGAGAAAAAUCGAAACGAUUCCAAAAAUACUGGAAAGAAGUAUAUCAGCAAGAAUGAUCCACAGUUUUCGAAUGAGAGAGAAUGCACAGUCAACACUUCUUGGAGUGUGGGAAAAGGUUCCCAACAGUUGAUGUGGAAUGUAUCUACAAAGAACAAUAUGACCACAAUGCAGAGAAAUUCGUUGCACAAACGUCUAUCAAGCUCGCAUAAUUCGUUGAACGAUUCAGCAGCCAAGAUAGUCGAUGAUUCAAUGUUCAUUACUCAAGCAAUGUCACACGACACUCUGGACGACAACAAAAUAUUAGAUUUUUAUAACGUUCCCCUUGAUUCUGAUAUAUAUUCAGUUCCCAUAGACUUCAUUACCAAUCAAUACAAUAUUGAUUCAGUACUACAUAAGAAAAAAAUGAACAGAAAAGGAACCUGCCACAAAAAUGAGCUCAAUUUGAAGAGAAGGCAAACAUCUCCAUUGCGGAAUGCUGAGAGCAAAUAUCCCUCAACAGAUGGGAGAAAACAAGGAACGGCAAUAGAUCUCGAAAAUGAGCAGAUCAAGUCUACAAUAUUCAACAAAUGCAGUGAAUGUAAUAGCAAGAAAAACAACUUUUCCUUCAAUUUCAAACAGAAGUUGUGCAACAUCUUUCGCAUAAGCAAACAACAUCAAUAUUUGAGGUGUAAAAAAACAAUACUUGAAGGCCAUACUAUGCAAAAUAGCUGUAAUGCGAAAUCGAAAUGUAUAAAUGAUUAUUAUAAAAAACUUCCUGUUCCAACACGUAAGCUGCCACCAUUACCAAUGACAGCGGACAAACGAUUAUCAAGUGGCGUUUCCUUGAAUGAAAUUAUGCACACGAUAAAAAGUUCGAAGCAGGAUGACAAGUCUCAUAUAAUGGAAUUUACAGCUAGUAUUGACAAAGUCAAAGAGCGUGGAUGGUACUGGGGACCUAUUUCUUCUGAAGGUGCGGAGAAAAUUUUGUCUAAUGAGCCGGAUGGCAGUUUUCUAGUACGAGAUAGUUCUGAUGAUCACUACAUCUUUUCCCUAACAUUCAAAUUGAAUGGUUUCGUUCGUCAUGUGAGAAUUGAUCAGGAUCAAGUUCGACCUACAAAAAACUUUUCAGAACUCUUAUCCAUCAAAUUUGGAGCCCUGAAAAGAGCCGUUGAUUAUAUGCUAAGCUAAUAGCACGAUCUCCUCGGAUACGAUGGGCCAGCUGGAUGUCCUUGGGCAUGAUGUGACGCGUUUUGCAUGGAUAGCACACAAAUUGGUAUCUUCGAAUAGGCCUCCUGCAGUGUCAUAACCGCGGAACUUUGGAAGCGCAAGUCGGUUUUGAAGUCCUGAGCAAUUCCACGAAUCAAAUGCUGCAAAGGGAGAUUGCGGAUCAGCAAUUCGGUCGACUUCUGAUAGCGACGAAAUUCACGCAAAGUUCCCGGUCGAUAGCGAUGUGGUCACACUCCCCGCGGCUGGUGCACUUAUCCGAGCUGCUUUCGUGGUGCCUUACCACCGAAAGACUAACGAGCUGUGUGCUUGGUCCCACACAAACGAGUCCUCACGGUGCGAGAGUAGAGUAAGAAAUGAACGAAAGCAAAGGAAGCGUCAUUUUAUAAACCAUAAAAGUAUAAAAUGUAAAUCCCACCCUUAUUAUAUUCGUAGCUUACUCUGAGAGAGAAACGAAUAACAUCGAAUUCGGCCUGCAAAAACGAAAUUAAUUGGAAGAGUACAGCAUAAUGCAUAGACGAGCCUUCUCAUUUGGGUCCUGUGCAAAAUUCAAAUCAUGCACUAUAAUGGAGUUUAUUGAAAAUGCAGUCGAACACUCGCGAAGCGGUAGAUAUCUUUUCUUCUUACAUCGGCGACCAGAACAUGGC